UUCAACUUUUGAUUUGUGUUGAGCUUUCGCUAUAUCACUUAUGCAGAGAAUCUAAGCUGUUUUAUUCAAUCGUUCAUCUGUCAUGCAAAAAAUAUGGAUAUAAAAUCAAUUUACCAAUUUUAUUAUUAUGCAGAUUUUGUCUCUAUAUUUAGAUCAUAUAAAUUGUAUCAAAUGAAUAAAUGUCUGUAUGGAAAUGAUAUAACCUGAUUCGUCUAAGAUCUCAGAUUUUAUUGAGUUGUGUUAUUAAGAAAGGAUUAAUGGAUAUUAAGAAAGUAUGUCAUUUUUAUUGGAUAAACAAAAAAUCUCUGCAAUUCUUAGUAAGCUAGAAUGAGAGAAGGUGUCUGAAAAAAUCUCAUUGAAGAAGACAAUGGAGUUAAAAUAAUUCAGAAGAACAUUCUAUCAAAGUUGUCAAGAAAUACUUUGAAUUUCAAGUGAAAAUUAGAAGUAUCAAAGUAAUGCUUUUUUUAAAACUUGCCGCCUUUGGAAACUAAUUGUUCCGCAGUCUCCUCGAACGACCAGCUGGUUCGCCGAAAAUAUUGUUACGGAUUUUUCGACGUCUCUCUUGAUUUGUUGGUCGAUGAAAUAAACAGUCCUUAGUAAAAAAUGGCAACGUUUAUUGAGCACGUUAGAAGGACACUAAUAGAAGGACAGAAAAUAUACAGCUGAGACGAACACAGGCAACGCACGGCAGCACACUACAACAAACAUUAGCCCACAAAUAGUAACCAGUAGUGAUAAAAACCACAGCACACAAAGCGAACCAGACAGAAUUCAGCAGAAGGAGGGAAUCUACGUAGCUUCACUCUACGAUCUCUCCAAACGUCUGCAAUUCACCACUUUCUCCUCGCUUUAUCUGUAUCCAACUGCCGAUUCCACACACGACUCGAUGCUGCUUCCAUAAUUAACAGGACUUGGCAAACAACUCAAUUCAGCAAUGGCUUGAGCUCGACACAACGCUUGCGCUUCGCCGGACUGAUCCAAAUAUUCCAUCGUCUCUUUCCAUGACUCUUUUCACAACUACGACUGACUGCAGCUUAAGACUGCCGACCUUUUAUAGUUCCCAGAAGGCGGGCAGAGAAGGUCCUGGACCAAUCAGGCGUAUAUCGAUUCAUAUUGGCUCAAUUGCUAAAAUUCUGAAAGUUUCCAGUAAUAUCUAUUGUAUCACCAUAGUCGCAAAGUUUGUCGCAAAGUUUUGAGAUUAUUGACGCGGCACUGGAUCAAAAUGGUCUUUCCAGUGAUUGAACUAAUCGUGCUGGGAAACAACAUUACAGGUUUGUAACAGUAUAGAUUAGAUAUGAUUUCAGAUGAAUCGUGAACAUCAUAAUUCCGGUCAAACUGUCAAACUUUAAAGCCGUGAUGAGCCUUUCUUAGAGUGACAAUCCCAUAACAUCAUAUCGUUAUUAAAAAUAGAAAUAUCCGGUUCAUUUAUAUUCUGAGUUUCGCGGUACUUCACUUGCUUUUUUAGCUUGUAAUCUGCUCAGAUAUUUAACAAAAUUUUCCUUCUUUAGUUUGCAACAAUGAAAGAAUAUUACGCGAUAAAAUAGUUGAAGAAACAAUGAAAAUGAUUUGAAUUUUAGAUCAACAAUAUAAUGUAUUACUGGUAAUUAGGCAAAAAGAUAUUCUUAAAAAUUACUAAAAUUCAAUAAAAAUUCGCAUUACUAAUUAAUUAUUAAAAAAACAAUUUGUAAAUUUUGAAAUGGUGUAAAAUUAUUUUUAGCAAUAAUGUUUCUUCAAGUUA